rnacentral:rRNA from 1 species
GAUGAACGCUGGCGGCGUGCUUAAUACAUGCAAGUCGAACGGAAAGGCGCUGCGUUUGUGGGGUUGUCGAUUGGCGAACGGGGGAGUGACACGUGUGUAACCUCUCCUUGUCUGUCGGGGAACUUUAGGGAAAUGGGUCGAUUAUCGCAGAGGAUCUUUUGCUGCGUAUGGUUGGAUAGUAAGAGACGGCGGUGGUGGAUGGUCUCGCGGUGUAUCAGCUUGUUGGUAAGGUGACGGCUUACCCAGGCUAUGAUGGAUAGCCGACCUGAGAGGGUGAUCGGCCACACUGGAACUGAGACACGGUCCAGGCUCCUACGGGAGGCAGCAGUAUGGAAUCUUCCGCAAUGGGCGAAAGCCUGACGGAGCAACGCCGCGUGAGUGAUGAAGGUCUUCGGAUCGUAAAACUCUGUUAUUAGGGAAGAACAUAUGUGGAAGUAACUGUGCAGAUCUUGACGGGACCUAAUCAGAAAGCCACGGCUAACUACGUG